rfam:Ornithorhynchus anatinus chromosome X1, whole genome shotgun sequence.
UUCCUGUCUCAGGAUUGCACCUGGAGAGUUUCCAGUACUCUACCAGUCUCGGCUAUGGCAGGAAGCGUCAAGCAGAGGCAUACCCAUUCCAUUCCUAGCUUGGGCAGUGGCUAUCGAAUGGAAGGCAAUCUGCUAUAAGU